UACGAAGGGAGCUAGCGUUGUUCGGAAUCACUGGGCGUAAAGCGCACGUAGGCGGAUGUGUCAGUCAGGGGUGAAAUCCCGGGGCUCAACCUCGGAACUGCCUUUGAUACAGCACGUCUUGAGUCCGAUAGAGGUGGGUGGAAUUCCUAGUGUAGAGGUGAAAUUCGUAGAUAUUAGGAAGAACACCGGUGGCGAAGGCGGCCCACUGGAUCGGUACUGACGCUGAGACGCGAAAGCGUGGGGAGCAAACAGG
rnacentral:rRNA from 1 species